rnacentral:miRNA from 1 species
UUUUGGUAAUAAUGAUGAUGAUGAUGAUAAUAAUAAUCAUCAUCAUCAUCAUCAUCAUAU